rnacentral:ncRNA from 1 species
GUUCAAGGUCGGUUAAGGAAGUUGGUGACCUGAUGACAGGGAAUCCAGCCACCGAAGCACCGGUGAACAGCAGCUAUAACUAUAAUGGUCCUAGGGUAGAGAAAUUCCUUGUUGGGUAAGUUCCAACCCACACGAAA